AUCAUUACCGAGUUUACAACUCCCAAACCCCUGUGAACAUACCAUAUUGUUGCCUCGGCGGUGCCUGUUUCGGCAGCCCGCCAGAGGACCCAAACCCUAGAUUACAUUAAAGCAUUUUCUGAGUCAAUGAUUAAAUCAAUCAAAACUUUCAACAACGGAUCUCUUGGUUCUGGCAUCGAUGAAGAACGCAGCGAAAUGCGAUAAGUAAUGUGAAUUGCAGAAUUCAGUGAAUCAUCGAAUCUUUGAACGCACAUUGCGCCCGCCAGUAUUCUGGCGGGCAUGCCUGUCCGAGCGUCAUUUCAACCCUCAAGCCCCCGGGCUUGGUGUUGGAGAUCGGCGAGCCCCCCGGGGCGCGCCGUCUCCCAAAUAUAGUGGCGGUCCCGCUGUAGCUUCCUCUGCGUAGUAGCACACCUCGCACUGGGAAACAGCGUGGCCACGCCGUAAAACCCCCCACUUCUGAAAGGUUGACCUCGGAUCAGGUAGGAAUACCCGCUGAACUUAAGCAUAUCAAUAG
rnacentral:rRNA from 1 species